rnacentral:misc_RNA from 1 species
UUAUUAAAUUAAAUAUAUAGUAAAUAUUAAAAUUAUAAUGCCAUAGAAAAUUAAAAUGAUCAUUUUAAUAUUAUAUUUGAAUAAAAAUAAAAUUAAUAGAAUGCGUUUUAAUGAUAAUUUUCACUCAUAUAUGUAAUUUAAUUGUGGUGUAACAAAAUAAAAAUAAAUAAUGAAAUAAAUAUUAAUUACAUAUAAAAAAUUAUAUAAAUUCAAUUUAUAGUGCAUAUAUAAUUUAUUUUUAUGAUUUUUUUUAGUUCUUGCACCUUGCCUCGCUGCACAUGCCUUGUGCCUAGGCUCCAGAGCCCCUGAUGCCUUGGUGCAUCUUGAGCCAUUAAUAACUAUGUUUCAAUGACUUAAUAGGUUUUGUGGCAUGACAGAUUAUUUCCAGACACUGGUGGGCUGUCUUGUUUUGUCCACGCUGUUGCCUAUCAUUGAAUUGAGUUUUGAUGUUAUCCUAUAUAUACGUUUGUGGUGCUACAGAAUGUGAUUCAUCUGAUAUAAUUAUGAGAGGCGAGUUCAUCGGAUAGUUGAUCAUGUUGAGUAUGCCUAUUAUUAUGGUGUGAAGAUAUUGUAUUGUAUUGCUGCAUAUUGUAUUAUGGAUGCUCCUCAUGCAUGUAUGCAUCUUCUUGUUGUUACUCCUGCUAUAUGAUAAAUUUUGCUACAGAAUAUGAAUUUAAUUCAUAUAACAAGAAAAUAUGAGAAUGAUCUUUGGGACAAUGAAUUAUGCUUUCUUUAUUGAUCACAAAUUAAGGAUUUCAUGCUUUAAAUGCUGAUGCAACUCAACAGAACAGCGACAACCACCACCCCCAACCCCCCGCCCCAAUUCCUCCUCUCUUUCUUUCUGGGAUCAAGGAUUUGCUAAGUGUCGGGGCUUUUGUAGUUUACUAUCAUUAAUAUUUCUUGUUGUUUUGUAUCUGUUUUCAGAAUUUCAGCUGUGUAUAUUGAAACAAGAGAGAUCUUUUGUGAGAAAUGUGACAUAGGAUUAGAAAUCUGAUUUGAAGGAAUAAGCCCUAAUUGGCAAAUGAUUCUACCAAUUCCCAAGUUGAGUAAGGAGCUUUAGUUUUUGAACAUCUGAAUUAAAUUUUUGAUUCAUUUGGGAAAACAGAAUUUAGAAGUGAAACUCUUGCUAUUUUAAGUUGAGAUAAUAAUUUUGAUAUCAAUGCUCUGCUCUCAAUUAGUUGAUGUAUCUUAGUAGUUCUUUAUCUGAGCAAAUAUUCUUUUGACCUGAAUAAUCUUGUUACCUUGUGGUGAAAUAGUUUGUUUUUUUCUUUGAUCUGUCAAAAUGUAAACUUCUCUGUUAACUAGGCGGAUACAUUGUUUCUUAACUGCACUAUUUCUAAGCCUCGAAAUAUUGUAGAGUAGGGACUAGGGAGGUAUGAAACAAAUUAUUGAUUUUACCAUGUAUGGUGGUACUGAUAACUCUUCUAUGCCUCUUCGUCCUUCACUUCUUUACAGAGACAGAAAUUGUCUUUACUUAUAAUUUAAUGGACCGCUUGUUGGAAAUUUAUCCUAUUGCAAAUAUGGUGGAUUUCAUUCUUCUCUCUUUUUUUUUUGGUGUCAAUUUAUUUGUCACUUAUCCCAAAAAAAUCUGUGCAAUGAACGUGCUUGUUGAUUUUUUAAACAUACUAAUUCAAUUUAGCAAAUCAGGCAUAUGAGAAAUGCUUUCAGAAUCUCCACUAUGUAGAACGGCACGAGGAGCACACAAUUGCCCAUGCAAUACAAACAGAAUAUAAGAAAACCAAGGUAUUUUGAUUUCUUUUCUAUUCCUCCAUCUCCAUGGUUCUUUAUGAUCUCUCUCUCUCUCUCUUUACAUAUAUAAUGCAUAUGUGUAACACUGCACCGCGCCCCCCCCCCCUCCCUUUCUCUCUCUCUCCCCCCUCUUCUUUCUUGUUUUUGGUGAUAAGUACACAUAUCUUCCCCCUUCCCUUCAAUUUCUCUUUGUCUAUUCCCCUAGGUGUAUCUUUGGCCAGCCUCAACUAGAACAGGUAUGAAAGCUGGAAGAAUUGUUCAAACUGUUUUGAAUUUAGCUGGUUUCAAAAAUGUCAAAUCGAAGGUAAUGGGCUUAUGGUUUGAAUCUACAUCUCACUAAUAUAGUUACUGUAAGCUUGAGUUUUUGUUGAAAGCUCAACUCUUUUGUCAGGUUGUUGGCUCGAGGAAUCCUCAUAACACUGUUAAGGCUCUUUUUAAAGCUUUAAAUGCUAUUGAAACUCCAAAAGAUGUUCAAGAGAAAUUUGGCAGGACAGUUGUUGAGAAGUACUUGGUGUGAUCGCACCAUUUUUGUUGGAUUUGAGGUACUCCAGAGAGAAAUGGAAUUUUGUUGUUUUCGGGUCACUUAUCCUUGAACAUGGUAGGCAUAUCUGCCACUAUCAUUACUACUGACUCAAAUUUUUUGCUUCUCUCAAUCUCCUCAAGAAAGAACUGCUUUAGUCAUAAACUAGUGAGGUGUCUGAGCGACGCUCCAUGUGAAGUAUAGAAUAAUUAUGAUUGAUAAUAAUUUUUUUUUGGUUCUAUAUCUGUAUUAUAAUACAUUAAAACAGAAUGAAUUUGGGCAGUACUUUCAAUAGUAAUUUGUCUGUUUUGUCCCUUAAUUUGCAUGUUAUGAACAGUUCUUGAAUAGCUGAUGUAGCCCUUGAUGAUUUCCCUUUUUUUGCCUUUCAUUUGGUUUGCAUUUUUGGCCCAC